UGGACCUUGGGGGGUACCUGAUGCAGCCAUGCCGCGUGUGUGAAGAAGGCCUUCGGGUUGUAAAGCACUUUCAGUUGUGAGGAAAAGUUAGUAGUUAAUACCUGCUAGCCGUGACGUUAACAACAGAAGAAGCACCGGCUAACUCCGUGCCAGCAGCCGCGGUAAUACGGAGGGUGCGAGCGUUAAUCGGAAUUACUGGGCGUAAAGCGCACGCAGGCGGUUUGUUAAGCUAGAUGUGAAAGCCCCGGGCUCAACCUGGGAUGGUCAUUUAGAACUGGCAGACUAGAGUCUUGGAGAGGGGAGUGGAAUUCCAGGUGUAGCGGUGAAAUGCGUAGAUAUCUGGAGGAACAUCAGUGGCGAAGGCGACUCCCUGGCCAAAGACUGACGCUCAUGUGCGAAAGUGUGGGUAGCGAACAGGAUUAGAUACCCUGGUAGUCCACACCGUAAACGCUGUCUACUAGCUGUGUGUGCCUUUAAGGCGUGCGUAGCGAAGCUAACGCGCUAAGUAGACCGCCUGGGGAGUACGGCCGCAAGGUUAAAACUCAAAGAAA
rnacentral:rRNA from 1 species